CGGGGUGAGUAAUGUCUGGGAAACUGCCUGAUGGAGGGGGAUAACUGCUGGAAACGGUAGCUAAUACCGCAUAACGUCGCAAGACUAAAGAGGGGGACCUUCGGGCCUCUUGCCAUCGGAUGUGCCCAGAUGGGAUUAGCUAGUAGGUGGGGUAACGGCUCACCUAGGCGACGAUCCCUAGCUGGUCUGAGAGGAUGACCAGCCACACUGGAACUGAGACACGGUCCAG
rnacentral:rRNA from 1 species